rnacentral:rRNA from 1 species
GACAGAGGGUGCAAACGUUGUUCGGAAUUACUGGGCGUAAAGCGCGUGUAGGCGGCUACGUAAGUCGGACGUGAAAUCCCGCAGCUCAACUGCGGAAGUGCGCUCGAAACUGUGUAGCUUGAGUCCUGGAGAGGAAGGCGGAAUACUUGGUGUAGAGGUGAAAUUCGUAGAUAUCAGGUAGAACACCAGUGGCGAAGGCGGCCUUCUGGACAGUGACUGACGCUGAGACGCGAAAGCGUGGGGAGCAAACAGG